rnacentral:tRNA from 1 species
UCUCUGGUGGCCCAGAGGGUAAAGCGUCUGCCUGCAAUGCAGGAGACCUGGGUUCAAUCCCUGGAUUGGGAA